AAAGAUGUAUAAUCCAGCUGGAACUGAGAAGCCCCUUCCAAUGAGUAAAUUUUGUCAACACGACAAAGAAUGAAAAUGUUGGAAACCUACAAAAUUUUUGAAAGGAAAACUUUCCAACCCCCAAGUCACUGGAUACAGAUAACUUGCCUAAGGAUUGUGUGUAAUAGGAGACUCCAGAAGGAGGUCAGCAAAGCAACCAGUCUGAGUGACAUGGGCUGGAGAUUAAAUGCCAGCUGACCACCCUUGAAAUGGGAAUUUCUGAAGUAGACUACUGACUGAUUGUUAAGCUUGAAAUAACAUAUUCCAAAUAUCAGACCCUCAGUGAAAUUUGGAACCAUCAUCCACUGCAAAAAAGAAAUUUGCUUUCUUCUUUAAAAGAGAAAAAACAGACAGUCUGAAUUAAAUGAAAACAAAGAUAUAAAAGAUUUUGAAGACUAAAUAGAAUUACAAAGAUGGCUGAGACUGGAAGAACCAAAGUCAUGGACAGAGGAAAGUCUUAUUGAGCUAACUUUAAUUUCAACAUUUCAAGAUCCUGGAACUGAUAAACAAAAGGUCAAGCCUAGGACACACUUCUCGAAGUCCCUACAUGCUAUUGUUCUAUUUAACAUUGCAUAAAAACACACCUGAAUGAGCUAUAGGAAUCAAGCUUUAGCUCCCUUUGCAAGAUGACAAUCUCUGGCCUUGAGAAGACUUAUGAUUUUCUCCUUAUAUGGCUCGAGACAAAAGCAUAACACAGGGACAGCUUGGAAACCUGAAGAUGAAAGCUAACUGUGUGAAUGAAGUGUUGCUGCCUUAGACAAGAUAAUCUGCCCAUCAAAGCAAAAAAGCAUAAUUCUGUAUGCCUGGGAUGUCUCCAUAUCCAAGGAAAGAAAAGGAUCUGAAAGAAAUUGUUGACAUUCUGACUACUUAAAGUAGAUGCCUUGUUAAAUGAGAUUUCUGCUGAGACCAGGAUGCUCUGUAUGUGCCUAUCAGUUCAAAAAUAUAAUGAAAGGAAAGUGCUCUGUGUUUCCUGUUGACUUUCAUACCCAAAGAUCAAUUUAAUGGAAAAUAAAAAGCUUCCAUUCAUGGGAUACGUCUUUGUAUUAAAAAGGAUUAAAUAAAGAAAGUUUGGAACUUUAGGAGCUAUUAGCAUUAUUAUGUGUG
rnacentral:lncRNA from 1 species